GCUGAGGCCCCAGGAUGGGACCGCGGCCUAUCAGGUAGUAGGUGGGGUAACGGCCCACCUAGCCUACGACGGGUACGGGCCCUGAGAGGGGGAGCCCGGAGAUGGGCACUGAGACAAGGGUCUAGGCCCUAAGGGGCGCAGCAGGCGCGAAGAUUCCGCAAUGCCCGAAAGGGCGACGGAGUGAACCCGAGUGCCACCCGCUGAGGGUGGCUGUUCCCCUGUGUAAAAAGCAGGGGGCAGGAAGGGGAGGGCAAGGCUGGUGGCAGCCGCCGCGGUAAAACCAGCUCCCCGAGGGGUUCCCACGCAUACUGGGCCUAAAGCGUCCGUAGCCGGCCCUGUAAGUCUGCAGUUAAAUCCGCCUGUAGACAGGCGGGUUGCUGCAGAUACUGCAGGGCUAGGGAGCGGGAGGAGCCGGGGGUAUUCCCGGGGGAGCGGUAAAAUGCGUAGAUCCCGGGAGGACCACCAGUGGCGAAGGCGCCCGGCUUGAACGCGUCCGACGGUGAGGGACGAAAGCUGGGGGAGCAAACCGGAUUAGAUACCCGGGUAGUCCCAGCCGUAAACGAUGCCGGCUAGGUGCUGGCCAAGGUUUCGGCCUUGGCCAGUGUCGAAGCGAAGGCAUUAAGCCGGCCGCCUGAGGAGUACGGCCGCAAGGCUGAAACUUGAAGGAAUUGACGGGGGGGCACCACAAGGGGUGAAUGCCUGCGGCUUAAUUGGACUCAACGCCGGGAAUCUUACCGGGGGCGACAGCAGGAUGAAGGUCAGGCUGAAGACCUUACCAGACGCGCUGAGGGGUGGUGCAUGGCCGUCGCCAGCUCGUGCCGUGAGGUGUCCUGUUAAGUCAGGCAACGAGCGAGACCCGCCGCCCCUAGUUGCCAGCGGCCUCCUUCGGGAGGGACCGGGCAAACUAGGGGGACCGCCUCCGAAGAGGAGGAGGAAGGUGGGGGCUACGGCAGGUCAGUAUGCCCCUAACCCCCCGGGCCGCACGCGGGCUGCAAUGGGCGGGACAGCGGGAUG
rnacentral:rRNA from 1 species